AUUGAACGCUGGCGGCAUGCCUUACACAUGCCAGUCGAACGGCAGCACGGGUGCUUGCACCCGGUGGCGAGUGGCGAACGGGUGAGUAAUACAUCGGAACAUGUCCUGUAGUGGGGGAUAGCCCGGCGAAAGCCGGAUUAAUACCGCAUACGAUCUACGGAUGAAAGCGGGGGACCUUCGGGCCUCGCGCUAUAGGGUUGGCCGAUGGCUGAUUAGCUAGUUGGUGGGGUAAAGGCCUACCAAGGCGACGAUCAGUAGCUGGUCUGAGAGGACGACCAGCCACACUGGGACUGAGACACGGCCCAGACUCCUACGGGAGGCAGCAGUGGGGAAUUUUGGACAAUGGGCGAAAGCCUGAUCCAGCAAUGCCGCGUGUGUGAAGAAGGCCUUCGGGUUGUAAAGCACUUUUGUCCGGAAAGAAAUCCUUGGCCCUAAUACGGUCGGGGGAUGACGGUACCGGAAGAAUAAGCACCGGCUAACUACGUG
rnacentral:rRNA from 1 species